rnacentral:rRNA from 1 species
CAGUCGCCACGGUAAUACCAGCAGCCCAAGUGGUGGUCGCGAUUAUUGGGCCUAAAGCGCUCGUAGCCGGGCCGGUAAGUCCCUUGUGAAAUCGGACGGCCUAACCGUUCGGCGUGCAAGGGAUACUGUCGGUCUUGAGGCCGGGAGACGUCCGAGGUACUCCGGGGGUAGCGGUGAAAUGUUCUGAUCCUCGGGGGACCACCGGUGGCGAAGGCGUUCGACGAGAACGGGCCUGACGGUGAGGGGCGAAGGCUAGGGGAGCAGACGGGAUUAGAUACCCCCGUAGUCCCUGUCUCUUAUA